rnacentral:rRNA from 1 species
UACGUAGGGUGCAAGCGUUAAUCGGAAUUACUGGGCGUAAAGCGUGCGCAGGCGGUGAUGUAAGACAGAUGUGAAAUCCCCGGGCUCAACCUGGGAACUGCAUUUGUGACUGCAUCGCUGGAGUGCGGCAGAGGGGGAUGGAAUUCCGCGUGUAGCAGUGAAAUGCGUAGAGAUGUGGAGGAACACCGAUGGCGAAGGCAGCCUUCUGGGCCAACACUGACGCUCAUGCACGAAAGCGUGGGGAGCAAACAGG